CAUUGGUUCAAAGAUGGGUGGGAUGGCAGAGGGGUCCAUGGUCUCCAUGAGGUUGCCUGUUGGAGAAGGAAUGGGACGCGCUCUGUAUAGGAGGCUGGCUAUUUUGGAGACACGGGUUUGUUCCUUAGGAGACUCUAUAGGCGGCUUCACCACGCACAUUAUCUUUGCUUGGCAGAGUCACUCCAGCUUCACCCCUAGUUCUUCUAAAAGAAUGAAGACAACAAUGUGACAGCAUUUCAGCUGGUGACAUCAUUUCUCUUGUAUCUUCAUUUCUCUCAGCAUAUACAGAUCAACCUCUGUCUUCACAGGUGCUCUAUUUAUUAUUUACAUCUAGUGUAUUUUUCUGAUUUGUAGUAUAUUCAUUAAAUUUUUAAUCACUAACCACCUGCUUCAAUGAGUCAUUUUUGAUAUGCUUUCUUGUAAAUUGGUAUUAUAACACUUCACGUCUUAUUGUUUUUGUUUUGUUUUGUUUUGUUUUGUUUUGAGACGGAG
rnacentral:lncRNA from 1 species